UACGAAGGGUGCAAGCGUUACUCGGAAUUACUGGGCGUAAAGGGUGCGUAGGCGGCCAUACAGGUCAGCUGUGAAAACUCGAGGCUCAACCUCGAGACGUCGGUUGAAACCGUAUGGCUAGAGUCCGGAAGAGGAGAGUGGAAUUCCCGGUGUAGCGGUGAAAUGCGCAGAUAUCGGGAAGAACACCUAUGGCGAAGGCAGCUCUCUGGGACGGUACUGACGCUGAGACGCGAAAGCUAGGGGAGCAAACAGG
rnacentral:rRNA from 1 species